AUACGGAGGAUGCAAGCGUUAUCCGGAUUUAUUGGGUUUAAAGGGUGCGUAGGCGGUUUGCUAAGCGGGAGGUGAAAUGCCGGCGCUCAACGUCGGAAGUGCCUCCCGAACUGGUGGACUGGAAUGACUCUGCCGUGGGAGGAAUGUGUAGUGUAGCGGUGAAAUGCUUAGAGAUUACACAGAACACCGAUUGCGAAGGCAUCUCACGAAGGGUUGAUUGACGCUGAGGCACGAAAGCGUGGGGAUCAAACAGGAUUAGAUACCCUGGUAGUCCACGCAGUAAACGAUGAUGGCUAACCGCUGGUUUUUUCGGAUCAGUGGCCAAGCGAAAGCGAUAAGCCAUCCACCUGGGGAGUACGACCGCAAGGUUGAAACUCAAAUGAAUUGACGGGGG
rnacentral:rRNA from 1 species